ensembl:lncRNA
CUAAGCAGCUUGCAGCUGCCAAGACUUUGGAAAUAAUUAUUGAUGUUGAUGCUGAUACUGACAUCGAUAUAAUCACUCCUGAAAGUUCAUACUCUGAUGCUGCUGACCCAGAUGUGCCAUCACUCAAACGAACUGACAGCAUAUUUCUUACCAGUGAAUACCUGCAGUCAAUCUCCAAGGUGGCUGACACACCAGAAGCUUCUGGAAGUUGUAUUGAAAGCACUGAUGAUGAAUAUAUUCCAUCAAAAGACUCAGGGAAUGAAAGUAGUUCAGAGGGAUUUGACAGUCCUGCAAAAAGGGUCCCAUUGUUGAAAAUUAAGAAAACAAAGAAGUCACAAAAGACUUCCAGAAGAAAAACACUUCCAAGUACAUCUUCGGGUAAGGACCAUGAGACAGUAGAAAGUGAAAGCUCUCAACCUAACCAGGGAAAUAUUUUUGUGAUGAAGCUGCAAAAAAAGAAAGAUGGGGCUAGAGUAUACAGUAAAAAGCAUCACUGCUUAUACUGUCCACAGGAGUGCCAUAAAAUGGCAAGGCACUUAAUACGCAAGCACAGCAGUGAACUGGCUGUAGCAGAAGCAAUCAGUUUUCCUUUGAAAUCAAAGGAGCGCAAACUACAUUUUGACCUCAUUAGAAACAAGGGGAACCGUGCACAUAAUAUUGAGGUUCUGAAAGCUGGCUCUGGGACACUAAUCCCAAGUCAGCAAACUAAAAAACCAGUGAAGCCAAAUGACUACAUGCACUGCGUUAACUGCCAGGCACUGCUGAAAAGACAUUCAUUAUGGAGACAUAUUUCAAGAUGCAAGCUUUCACAGAAGUGCAGCACAGCAAAACCAGGCAAAAGUCGGAUCCAGUCACUUUGUGCCUUUGCACAGCCUGUCCCAGAUGGUGUCAGCAGAAAGGUUUGGGAACUGGUCAGUGUUAUGCAUCAGGAUGAAGUCAGAAACAUCAUCAGAGAGGAG